rnacentral:rRNA from 1 species
UACGUAGGGGGCAAGCGUUGUCCGGAUUUACUGGGCGUAAAGCGCGUGUAGGCGGAAGCGAAAGUCCGGUGUGAAAGCCCCCCGCUCAACGGGGGAAGGUCGCUGGAAACUGCGCUUCUUGAGGGCGGCAGAGGGAAGUGGAAUUGCUGGUGUAGCGGUGAAAUGCGUAGAGAUCAGCAGGAACACCCGUGGCGAAGGCGGCUUCCUGGGCCGCGCCUGACGCUGAGGCACGAAAGCGUGGGGAGCAAACGGG